UGGGUACAGAGCAAGACUCUGUCUUGGGGGAAAAAAAAAAGUAAGAGAUGGUGAUUGGUUGGAUAUGGGAGAUAAAGGAAAGAUUUAAGUUUAACUUCUGACUUCUUAUGGCUGAAUACUACCCACUGAAUGAAGAUCUGUUUAGGGAAAAGAUAAAGGGUUCUGACUUGGACAUAUCUAGUUCAAGGUUCCUAGAUCAUAUCUUAGUGAAUAUACCCUGCAUAAAACUCAUGGGUAAUGUCUAGAUUGGAGAAAAAAUAGGAGAAAAAUCAUCAGAUCACCCAAAGAAAGUGUGCAGAAUAAGUAAAGUUGUGGACCAAGGAUUAAAACCUUGGGGAAUUCUAACAUCAAGAAUGAAAGCACACACGGAAAAAGAAUCUAAGCUUCAUGAAGGUGGAUUUUUGUUCAUUUUAUUUACUGUUAUGGCUCCAGCUGUUCUUACUAUAUGAUGACUUCUGGAGUGAUCAGAAAAUUUUCCAGUCCAUAAACUUGCCUAUUGGAGGGGAAGGAAAAGAAGGGCCCUGCAUUCUAAGAUUUCAUAUUGGUAGGGAUGAUACUGGCUUUUUAUUUGCCAGUUCUACAUAAACAGCUAUCAGAUUAUUAUAAAUUUAAGCAUGCUAUUGUCUACAUCUAGAUGUAUUGAACUAAAAGGAAGACACCAGUAAAAAGAAGUGGAGUCAUAUUUCUUACCUCUUUGUGCUUCGUAAGAGAGUCAAUCCUGGAGUGACGUGAGUAGCAGAAUGCCAAGUCUAUGAGUCACGUGAUAACUACUGGACAUGCACAUGAGAAUAUGACGAGGAUGGUGCCUUAGAAUGGGGAUUCUCAAUCUGAGGUAACAAUGGGAACAAUUACCAUAUAACUAUUCAAGUGUUUAACUAGCCAGUAUUUUAAAAAAUACCUACUACAUCCUCAGCAUAGUCACUGAAGAAAACUAGGGAUCCAAGAAAAUCAUACCAUUUAAAAAUAAUUGGUAAGUAUGCUAUUUAGCAUGAAAAAUUAGUUUGGACACAUUAAAUGUUCUAGCAAUUUAGAGGAGAGGUUUAGCGGGCAGAAUUCGAGGAGGAGCUGGAGUAAGGGGAGUAUUGCGGGGUGUAUGGUCACUAAGA
rnacentral:lncRNA from 1 species